rnacentral:rRNA from 1 species
AUUGAACGCUGGCGGCAUGCUUUACACAUGCAAGUCGAACGGUAACAGGCCGCAAGGUGCUGACGAGUGGCGCACGGGUGAGUAAUGCAUCGGAACGUGCCCAGUCGUGGGGGAUAACUACUCGAAAGAGUAGCUAAUACCGCAUACGAUCUAUGGAUGAAAGCGGGGGACCGUAAGGCCUCGCGCGAUUGGAGCGGCCGAUGUCAGAUUAGGUAGUUGGUGGGGUAAAGGCUCACCAAGCCAACGAUCUGUAGCUGGUCUGAGAGGACGACCAGCCACACUGGGACUGAGACACGGCCCAGACUCCUACGGGAGGCAGCAGUGGGGAAUUUUGGACAAUGGGCGCAAGCCUGAUCCAGCAAUGCCGCGUGGAGGAAGAAGGCCUUCGGGUUGGAAACCUCUUUUGUUAGGGAAGAAAAGGCUUUUGUUUAAACCCGGGGCUAAUGACGGUACCGUAAGAAUAAGCACCGGCUAACUACGUG